UCUAUGAAGUCCCCUGUGGUCCUCUCUGGA
rnacentral:piRNA from 1 species